rnacentral:rRNA from 1 species
CCUACGGGAGGCAGCAGUGGGGAAUAUUGGGCAAUGGGGGGAAGCCUGACCCAGCGACGCCGCGUGAGUGAAGAAGGCUUUCGGGUUGUAAACUUCUUUUAGCAGGGAAGAAUGAAAUGCUGUACCUGUAGCAUCAUCCACGGCUAACUACGUGCCCGCCGCCGCGGUAAUACGUAGGUGGCAAACGGUGUCCGGAUUUACUGGGGGUAAAGGGCGGGUAGCCGGGUUGACAAGUCAGGUGUGAAAUCCUGCGGCUUAACCGCAGAACUGCAUUGGAAACUGUUGAUCUGGAGUACUGGAGAGGCAGACGGAAUUCCUAGUGUAGCGGUGAAAUGCGUAGAUAUUAGGAGGAACACCAGUGGCGAAGGCGGUCUGCUGGACAGUAACUGACGGUGAGGCGCGAAAGCGUGGGGAGCAAACAGGAUUAGAUACCCUUGUAGUC